AAUGAACGCUGGCGGCGUGGUUAAGACAUGCAAGUCGAACGGGACUUUAAGUGUAGCAAUAUAUUUGAAGUUCAGUGGCGAACGGGUGCGUAACACGUGUACAAUCUACCUUCGAGUGGGGAAUAGCUCUUCGAAAGAAGAGAUAAUACCGCAUAUGGUGGCCUUUCGCAUGAGAGGCCUACUAAAGUCGGGGACCGCAAGGCCUGACGCGUGAAGAGGAGUUCGCGGCCUAUCAGCUAGUUGGCGUGGUAACGGCUCACCAAGGCUAAGACGGGUAGCUGGUCUGAGGGGAUGCUCAGCCACACGGGAACUGAGACAUGGUCCAGACACCUACGGGUGGCAGCAGGUUCGAAUCAUUCACAAUGGGCGAAAGCCUGAUGGUGCGACGCCGCGUGAGGGACGAAGGUCUUCGGAUUGUAAACCUCUGUCACCGGGGAAGAAACGCUACGUUUUAACAGAACGUAGCCUGACUUAACCCGGAGAGGAAGCAGUGGCUAACUCUGUGCCAGCAGCCGCCGUAA
rnacentral:rRNA from 1 species